rnacentral:rRNA from 1 species
GCGUUUGUCAUCGGCGUUCGGCGAUCGAGUGACGGAGGGGCGUUCGCGCGCUCUCCGCGCCUUUCGCUGUUCGAUCCGGAGACGAACGCGUGCACUUUUCUCCUGGUAGGACGUCGCGAUCCGUCGGGUGUCGGUCUAAGGCUCGCGGUGGAGACCGUAGAUGUCGUUUCACGACGAUUUUUGCGGACCCGCGUGUUCCCGGCCGACUCGCUCGACGGUAUACGAAAGGUUUAAGGCCGCUUCUUAAUAAGAGAGCGUUCGACUCGUGGCAAGCGCGUCAGAUGUCGUCGGUGAUCGGACCUAGUGCCGAUCCAUACCCCUGACGACUGUUGGCCGCGAAGUUCUCGAACAGACCUUAUCGAAACCGAUNUGCGACGCUAUAGCUUUGGGUACUUUCAGGACCCGUCUUGAAACACGGACCAAGGAGUNUAGCAUGUGCGCGAGUCAUUGGGAAUUACUAAACCUAAAGGCGCAAUGAAAGUAAAAGUUCGUCUCGCACGGACCGAGGGAAGAUGAGCGGUCCUUAGUGGCCGCUCCGCAUUCCCGGGGCGUCUCGUUCUCAUCGCGAGAAGAGGCGCACCAAGAGCGUACACGCUGGGACCCGAAAGAUGGUGAACUAUGCCUGGUCAGGACGAAGUCAGGGGAAACCCUGAUGGAGGUCCGUAGCGAUUCUGACGUGCAAAUCGAUCGUCGGAACUGGGUAUAGGGGCGAAAGACUAAUCGAACCAUCUAGUAGCUGGUUC